rnacentral:rRNA from 1 species
AGUAACCUUAUUUUGUUAACCCUAAACACCCGAUAUUCUUUACCCGCCAGAGAACAACGAGCUAGCGCUUAAAAYUCAAAGGACUUGGCGGCACUCCAUACCMCCCUAGAGGGGCCUGUCACAUAAUCGAUAACCCACGAUACACCUCACCCCCUUACCCCCCCACCGCCUAUAUACCGCCGUCGUCAGCCCAUCUUGAUAAGGGGACCAAAAUGGGCCCAACAGUCUCACUGCACUAAUACGACAGGUCAAGGUGUAGCCAAUAAGGCGGCGAAUGACGGACCACAUUGCCCACAAGGCCAAACCAAGGUUGUAAUGAAACACACAUUUUAAGGUGAAUUUAACAGUAAGGCGGGCAAGAAAACCCGCCUAAAGGUGGA